rfam:Candidatus Magasanikbacteria bacterium RIFCSPHIGHO2_01_FTLL_33_34 rifcsphigho2_01_scaffold_38, whole genome shotgun sequence.
AGAAGGUCCCAAGGGUUUGGCUGUUCGCCAAUUAAAGCGGUACGCGAGCUGGGUUCAGAACGUCGUGAGACAGUUCGGUCUCCUAUCUGCUGUGGUCGUCGAAUAUUGAAGGAGCUCAUUCCUAGUACGAGAGGACCGGAAUGAACAAACCUCUGGUGUACCAAUUGUCAUGCCAAUGGCAUAGUUGGGUAGCUAAGUUUGGCAUAGAUAAGCGCUGAAAGCAUCUAAGCGCGAAGCUAUUCCUAAGAUUAAUAUUCAUUUGAGAUCUGUCCGAGACUAGGACGUUGAUAGGCGCUAGGUGUAAGCUCUGCAAAGAGUUGAGCCGAGGCGUACUAAUCGAUCAAGCGUACUACGGAA